GACGAACGCUGGCGGCGUGCUUAACACAUGCAAGUCGAACGGAGCUAUUUAUUUCGGUAGAUAGCUUAGUGGCAAACGGGUGAGUAACGCGUAGGCAACCUGCCCUCAGGAUGGGGACAACGGCUCGAAAGAGCCGCUAAUACCGAAUGACGUAACUCUUCCACAUGGAAGAGAUACUAAAGAUGGGUCAAACCAUCGCCUAAGGAUGGGCCUGCGUCUGAUUAGCCAGUUGGUGAGGUAACGGCUCACCAAAGCGACGAUCAGUAGCCGGUCUGAGAGGAUGAACGGCCACAAUGGGACUGAGACACGGCCCAUACUCCUACGGGAGGCAGCAGUGGGGAAUCUUCCGCAAUGGGCGAAAGCCUGACGGAGCAACGCCGCGUGAGUGAAGAAGGUCUUCGGAUCGUAAAGCUCUGUUGUCGGGG
rnacentral:rRNA from 1 species